rnacentral:rRNA from 1 species
UAUCAGAAAGUGACGGCAAACUAUGUGCCAGCAGCCGCGGUAAUACAUAGGUCACAAGCGUUAUCCGAAAUUAUUGGGCGUAAAGCGUCCGUAGGUUGUUUAUUAAGUCUGUAGUUAAAGAUCGGUGCUCAACGCCGGCACGCUUUAGAUACUGGUAAACUAGAGUUAUAAAGAGGUAAGUGGAAUUUCAUGUGAAGCGGUGGAAUGCGUAGAUAUAUGAAAGAACACCAAUGGCGAAGGCAGCUUACUGGUUAUAUACUGACACUGAGGGACGAAAGCGUGGGGAGCAAACAGGAUUAGAUACCCUGGUAGUCCACGCCGUAAACGAUGAUCAUUAGUUGGUGGGAGAAUCUCGCUAACGCAGCUAACGCAUUAAAUGAUCCGCCUGAGUAGUAUGCUCGCAAGAGUGAAACUUAAAGGAAUUGACGGGGACCCGCACAAGCGGUGGAGCAUGUGGUUUAAUUUGACGAUACGCGUAGAACCUUACCCACUCUUGACAUCCUCUGCGAAGCUAUAGAGAUAUAGUG